ACAGCGGAUUAUCUCCAGUGAUCUCUGACACCAUUAGAGCACAGAUCGAUUUCUCACAGGACGCAAUGAAAUGGCACUUGAAGCAAAAGAACAUUAGACCGUGUCAAAGCCCCCAUGAGAGAGAAAGAGGGUGGUAGAGGGGGAACGAGAGCACUAAUAUCAGACCAUAUCCCAUCUUAAAACUACCUUCCAAAUCCACGUCUCAACAAAGGCUUACAAAAUGAGUGGGGGUCAGAAUACAAGACCAAAGAUUUGCUCCGUAGGCAAAUCAGCGAACACAAUGGCACUUCCAAAACUUAAAGCUGGUCAAGAUAUAGUAAAAAAGCCAGUCAUCGGCUCUGUUACUGGGACCACCAAAGCAGUAUCCAGAGGCCACAACCUCCUGCUAAGCCCAGAUCAGAGAGAACUUUAUCAGAGGACAGUACUGGUCGAGCUCGGACAGCUCUAAUGGCAGUGUGGACAAUGGGAGGUCAGGAUCUGAGAAUUCAGAAGAUGGUGGACAUAGGAGAAUAGUAACAUCAGCCAGCAGCUCUGGCACCAGCACCAUCCAAACUGUAAAAUCAACCUCAGAGCUGCUGGAGGAAGCCAGACCUAUUGCAAGCCUGGAACAGCCUGGUGAUGCUGACCAGCAGUGGGCACCAGAUGAGACAUCGGCAGACACAUAAGUGAUGGAAAGUGUGCACGUAGAAGAUGAGAUCAUUGAGCAAAGGGAAGUGAGUGGUGGAAUUCUCUCUGCCAGUGACCAAACAAAUGAACAGUUCACAGAAAGAAGAUGAUCAUUGAUGAUGAGGAUAUCAAAACAUGAUUCAUUUUUAAAUUCAUAAAAAAACAGUAUAACAUCAUAUUUCAUACUUUCAUGUACAGUGGCACCCAAAAAAUACUUAUACCCCA